rnacentral:lncRNA from 1 species
GGGGGCAGUUGCUGCCUCUGUGCCGGCAAAGCCUUUCAGCUUGGAGGACAUUUUCCCUGCUUACUGGAGAUUUUCCCAAUGGUGUCCAUGUCACUGUUCCUCUAGCAGAUGUGGAAAGUGGCUGCUCAGUGAGGACUCAGCCCCCACCAGCCUGACUGAGGGUCACACGACACCAUGGUGGAAAGUCACAAAGGGUAACGGGCCAAGAGGGCGAGGGGGGCUCCCUGACCCUGAGGACCCCUGAGGCACUGCUGCACCUUCCACGGAUUCUGUGUCUAGCGUUGCCCUCUUUGCAGAUGCCCCUCGUGGUGGUGGCACAAAGACCUAAAAAUGAUUUCUGUAAAAUGGGUAUGAGGAGCUCCCUGAUAAAGCAGCUCAUCCUAGACAGCCUUUUGGAGUUAGCGUAACUGUCCUUCCUCAUUUCUAGUUCUCAAUAGCGAAUGGUAGACCCGGAGGCCCCAUGUGCACCUGCCAGCCGGGGUGAGGGCAGGGACAGCCAGCCGGGGCGAGGGCAGGGACGGCCAGCCGGGCGAGGGAGGGGCAGUGGGGGCGAGGGCGGGGCAGUCGGGGUGAGGGUGAGGGUAGGGCGGGGCAGUCGGGGCGAGGGAGGGGCAGUGGGGGCGAGGGUGGGUGGCCAGCCGGGCCUGGUGUGAGGAGCGGAGCUGCAAGUUUCCUACAGACAAUCCACUGAGUGCCCCAGAGACAUCACUGAAAAACUUCCCAGCGCUCUGACGUGCCAGCAGUAGGGCCUGAACUGUCAUCCCUCCACGGGGCUCCCUGAGGCCUCAGGCCCUUCCUUUGCAGCACCAGGUCUGCCUUGCACGCAUCCCAGGAGGAAACACACAGGCAGCCUCCUGCUGCGCGGAGGGCAACGGAGGGAUUCAUGAGGCCCCUGGUCGCUCUGCAGACAUUUAAAAUGACGCUUCUCCUUGCACCAGCUCCCAGGGAAAUGUCAGCCUGGGUCCGCCUGACGGAGGGCAGCUCACCCGCCUGCAUCUAUCCUCAAUGAACUUAAAAUAUGAAGACAUGAAAGGUGGCUGGAAAGACCAGAGCGGGAGCCUGACAAACACUCCUGCUUCUGGGUCACCACGCGGGCACUGCUGGCAACCGAGCUGUGGGUUCACAGACGCUGCCUGGAAACAACCGCCGCCCCCGAGAGCAGCGGAGCCUCUUCAUCAGCCAUGGCGGCUGGCAACGCCGAGGACGGAGCACAGCUCUAGAGGCGUGGGGCCUCUUCUGGGCCCGGGACCCUGCGAGGGACGGUCCUGUCCGCCCAGCUCCCGGCUGGCGGCAGACGGUGACUCCACGGCGACAGAACCUGCAUCCACCCGCGCCUGUCGGGUCCGGGGAGCGGCCCCGGAGGAUCCUCCUCAGUAGGUGAUCUUCCAGUGGGUGGGUUGCUCACACGCCUUCUCUUGGUCUCCGCAGAACCUGUUGUACGUCGUCUUGGGGUCCAACCCCAGGAUUUCUCUUUCCUCAUGAAUCCGAAAAGAAAAUGUUGAGACUGAGGUGCCAAUAAAAAACCUGCAAAGGAUCACAGAGGUUCCAGAGUCAGGGAGAACUGGGGUCACAGAGGUUCCAGAGUCAGGGAGAACUGAGAGGAGCAGCUGAGUGAAAUGAGUUCCACAGUUACAUGGAACCAACACAGCCGCCCCCCGAGCACCCACCAGCCGGCCGCCCCCUUGCUGGCACCCCUCGCUCAGAUGCCCUCGACAUCUGCGCCCUGAGGGGCUCUGCCUGGUGCUGCAGCCCCAUCCACACCCCACAGUCAGCAGCCGCCACGCUCCUCUCCCGCCGCAUGUCCCCCCGGGAGCCCUCUCCGUCACCAAAUCCCAGGCCAGGCACGCCAGUGCAGGUCGAAUACCUCCUGGGGGUCACACGGUGAACAAUGAGAGAUUCCUACUAACCACACACUGUCUAGCCAGGGCAUGGGGGUUCCUUAUCCUGAGGCACAGCAGACAUCACGGAGGUCAAGGCCCCCCUCCACACACACGCUGUAUGGGCUGGGGGGGACACCCUUCUCCAGGGGUUUCUCCAGACCUCAGGUCAGCGGCCUGCCCGUUCCUCCGGCUCCUGCGCAGCUGGUCUCUGGCUCUCCAGCGGCACUUCAUGAACUUCGUGAACAAGCAAACCCCAGAGAUGUUUCCAGAGCAAAUGUAACAUGCACAGCGCUGUACACGGAGCCACAGGGCCAGCAGGCCACACAGGCCUGUAUGCUGCUGCGGGGUGCAGCACUGGUGGGGAGACCCUCACCACCCCACACACAGGGGCCUGCCAGAGCAGGCCGCGCCGGCCCGGAGGCAGGGCAGCUUCAGUGAGCUGGGCCGAGCGCUUCGCGCAGCUGAGGGCAGGAGGCUGAGAGCUCAGUGUGAAGCCUCCCCACAGCAGGCUUCCUGGGCUGCGGAGACAGCACCACCAAGGUCGCAGUCAAAAUCCCAAGGCCACACCUGAGAAGCAGGGGCGAGCUCGUGACUGGGCUCCUGCACACCUCCGCCCCGACCUAAGAAGUCAGCGCUGCAUCCUGUCUGCUUAACAGGGAAAGGGACCCACACCCAGCAGACAGCAUCACCCGGAGCCUCUGUGGGUCUUAUACACCAUGCCCAGAACACCACAGGAAAUAGCAGAGGUGUGAAGAGGCACCGGCUCAGGGCGCUCAGUAUUCCUCGGGCAGGAGAGAGACAGACUAACCCACAGAGACGCACGCGCAGGCACAGUGCUAACCACAGGGAAGAUCAUUCCCUCUACUUUCAUUUUCCAUUUAACUCAAACUGUUUCACCCUAACCCCAGCCUUCAUCUCCUAUGCAGAUGGGCAGGCAGGUCUUUGGAGGAACAGAGGCCCAGGCGUACCUCCCACAGCAACCCCAGAGGAAUGACUGCACGCAGGGCCCAUGCUCCCGGCCUCUGGGACGCUCACGGCAGCCCCACGAGAACGAUCACACGAGGGCCUACGCUCCUGGCCUCGGGGACGCUCACGGAUGCUCAACAACACACAUAGCAACAAGGACACGCCCAAGUCCAGGGCACAGGCAACUCUCAGGGCAGGGGGCAGACAGGGGCAGAAACUGGGAAUGAUGGGAAAAUGAGACACAAGAAGAGGUUCUGAGACGAGGCCAGCUAUGCCAACAGCCUGCUAUGGAGGAAUUCUGUGCGUGAGAACUAAAGGGGCAAGAUGAACAAUUAACUUCAGCCCAGGGAAACACCGAACCAGAUGCUACAGGACACUCAGACGAGGAGGCAAACAGUAUGGAAAUGACCACUGUGAACACAGGCAACCAUCUGCUCUGACACCGAGUACUUGGGACAGAAGAACCUUUGAAAGCCACCCGACCCGCUCUCGGCCGACAGUGACGUGGGCAGGCACCUGGCGUGUGCGCAGAUCCACUGGUCAAUAAUCGCAACGCCUCCGUCCUUGUAGAGCUCCAGCUCCUCCCACGUGGGUUCAAACCUCACCAUCUCGGGUAACAGCUUUUUUAGCUCUUCAUAUUCUGCAAAGUAGAAGGAGAGACCCUUUGAACCGGGAUCCUCCAGUAAGGACAGAUACGUGUCUCUUUAGCAGACAGACAUGCGUACUUGGCUUCUGGUUAAUUCGUUAGGAACUGGCGCCAAAGGUGCAGACACACAACUCAGCUUUACCCUCCCAGGAGUUACAGUUGAAGAUCAUGCAGAUCUUCAUGGAUCUGGUAGUUCCAGGUCUACCCAGAACGGAACCAGGGAUCAAGAAGAAAGGAAAGAAACAAGAGCAUUGAAGCUCCAUACCCUUUCUGACGGCAUCUGUGGCCACAAACACCUUGUCCAGCCGGUGGGUCUUCAUGAGGCUGCGGAUCUUCCUCACGGCCCCUUCCAGACUGGGUACAUCCUGUCUGUGACCCCAGAUGAAAUCUUUUCUUCUCAGGUGGACUCCCAGGUAGGGGCCCCCUAGCGCGGAGCCCAGCUUGACCUAGCAAAGAACCACAAG